UGGGGGACAACAGUUGGAAACGACUGCUAAUACCGCAUAAAGCUAACCGGAGGCAUCUCUGGGGAGCCAAAGAUUUAUUGCUGAAAGAUGGGCUCGCGUCUGAUUAGCUAGUUGGCGGGGUAAGGGCCCACCAAGGCGACGAUCAGUAGCCGGACUGAGAGGUUGAACGGCCACAUUGGGACUGAGAUACGGCCCAGACUCCUACGGGAGGCAGCAGUGGGGAAUAUUGGGCAAUGGGGGAAACCCUGACCCAGCAACGCCGCGUGAAGGAAGAAGGCCUUCGGGUUGUAAACUUCUUUUACCAGGGACGAAGGACGUGACGGUACCUGGAGAAAAAGCCACGGCUAACUACGUGCCAGCAGCCGCGGUAAUACGUAGGUGGCAAGCGUUGUCCGGAAUUACUGGGUGUAAAGGGCGUGUAGGCGGAGCUGCAAGUCAGAUGUGAAAUCUCCGGGCUUAACCCGGAAACUGCAUUUGAAACUGUAGCCCUUGAGUAUCGGAGAGGCAAGCGGAAUUCCUAGUGUAGCGGUGAAAUGCGUAGAUAUUAGGAGGAACACCAGUGGCGAAGGCGGCUUGCUGGACGACAACUGACGCUGAGGCGCG
rnacentral:rRNA from 1 species